rnacentral:rRNA from 1 species
UACGUAGGGACCAAGCGUUGUUCGGAUUUACUGGGCGUAAAGGGCGCGUAGGCGGCGUGGUAAGUCACUUGUGAAAUCUCCGAGCUUAACUCGGAACGGUCAAGUGAUACUGCUGUGCUAGAGUGCAGAAGGGGCAAUCGGAAUUCUUGGUGUAGCGGUGAAAUGCGUAGAUAUCGUAAGGAAGACCAGUGGCGAAGGCGGGUCUCUGGACAGCUCCUGACGCUGAGGCACGAAGGUCAGGGGAGCAAACGGG